UACGUAGGGGGCAAGCGUUGUCCGGAAUCAUUGGGCGUAAAGCGCGUGUAGGCGGCCAGGUAAGUCCGUUCUGAAAGCCCGGGGCUCAACCCCGGGAGGCGGGUGGAUACUGCUCAGCUCGAGUCCGGAAGAGGAGUGUGGAAUUCCUGGUGUAGCGGUGAAAUGCGCAGAUAUCAGGAGGAACACCAAUGGCGAAGGCAGCACUCUGGGACGGUACUGACGCUGAGACGCGAAAGCGUGGGGAGCAAACAGG
rnacentral:rRNA from 1 species